UCUUUUUUUCCUUUUAUUAUUAUUCUCCUUAAUUUUUUCCCUCUCUCCAAUUCAUCGCCGAUUUAUUCGACCUGAUAUGCCGGCGCCGCCGAUUUAGACUCCGAGAAUCUCUCUCUCAGAUCUGUGCUGUCCUUUUCAGCCUCACAACCUGUCUGACACUGAGAUAUGGGUGUCUGAAGGGCUGGUGUCUUUGUUAAUGCAAAAGGACUGGGAGCUACACCAACACUAUAUUUUUUGGUGCCCAGAUGAUUAGAACUGAUGUUAUUGGCCGUGGAAGGAGGAGGGUUCUUCUCUUCUUCAGCUUCUGGGUAUAGCAAGGGCCUGACCCUUCUUCUCUUGGGUCAGAAGCACGAAGAUAAACCCAUGAGAGUUUCUCCGUGGAAUCAGUACCAGUUGGUGGAUAACGAACCAGACCCUAACCUCCAGCUGGCUUCCUUGAAGAACCGGCUUUCCCGCGGGUGCGCUUCCUUUGUUUGCUUUGGUCGCGCUUCCACAGGGCUUGAUUCUCCAUCGCCUCUCAAAGUAGGUCCUGCCCAACAGCAGGAUGUCUUGCCAGAUCCUCCUGUCACUGACAAGGGCAAAGACCAUACAACUGAAGUUCAAGGUGAUAAUUAUGCAAGAAGAGUUGCUCUUAAGAGUAGCUUGAAGAAGCCAUCAAGUAGCAUUCCAGUUCCCGUUGAGGAUUCUAAUCAACACAAUGCAUUGGGUGAAAAAGGCAGUGAUGUACCUGGUCUUACAGAAAGGAGAAAAGUGCAGUGGACGGAUGUUUGUGGGAGUGAGCUUGUUGAAAUCAGGGAAUUUGAGCCAAGUGAAACAGCUUAUUCAGAUGAUGAAUUUGAGAAUGGAAAUGAAAGAAGUUGUUCAUGUGUGAUUAUGUGAUCCAUUUUAUUAGCAAAACAUUUUAUGGGCUCAAUUUUUUCUUGAAAGAGAUGACGUAACAAGCAAAUUGCUACUA
rnacentral:misc_RNA from 1 species